rnacentral:rRNA from 1 species
UACGGGGGGGCAAGCGUUGUUCGGAAUUACUGGGCGUAAAGGGCGCGUAGGCGGCCUGCUAAGUCGAACGUGAAUCCUAGGCCUGCACCCACGGAACUGCGUCCGAUACUGGUUGGCUUGAAUCCGGGAGAGGGAUGUGGAAUUCCAGGUGUGAGCGGUGAAAUGCGUAGAUAUCUGGAGGAACACCGGUGGCGAAGGCGACAUCCUGGACCGGUAUGACGCUGAGGCGCGAAAGCCAGGGAGCAAACGGG